GGUCGCUCAUCAGAGAUGUCCGUUGAUCGCGGCACCGUGUGCCUUAACGGUCAUCUGUCAGUUAGAGAUGUCCGUUGAUCGCGGCUCCGUGUGCCGGUCCAGCCAAACCUUAACAGGCCGAUCCUUUUCUUGCGCUCCUUCGUUGAACUGCCACUCGCGUCGAUGAACAGUCCGAGUUUUCACUGUAACUCCCUCUAAUAGCAUUCGGUAGACACCAAUGGUUUCCUUUGACGGGUUUUAUUGUAGCCUUUUACUCCAACUCCACCGUGAAAACUAUAGAUGAAUACAUACACAGUACAACAGAAAUCACGGCAUUAGCUUUACAUAAAAUCAUAAAUUACACGGCACACAAAAAGCCAAACAAGCAAAACAAAAUACAGGGAAACAACAAGAAACAUACCUCGUUGGCUGCAUGCUAUUUACAGGGACUUUGAAACUAGAUUAUUUUCGGCGAUGCGUAUCACAAGCUGUUCACCUUCUCUCAUGCCGCAUCUCAAACUGACACAAACUGACAAAACAUCAGCCUAAAUACACACACACACACAAGUGACGUCAUUCAACAAACUAUUUAAAUACAAUUUUAAACCUGAAUAACGAACACAAUUAUUGAAUUACUAAUAUAAACAAAAAUGAAUUUCCUUAUGCCUUAUAAUAUGAAAGUAAUAAUUAAAUUACAGAAACCUUUUAAUGAUGACAGUUACACCAUGUGACUGAAAUCUCCAAACUGAUCUACUUUGCGCAUCAAGGGAAAACAUGACAGUUCUCUAGUCAUACAAUACCCCAAAACAUCCACGCUCUACUUCUCUACAUCGGAAACAUCUGCCAGGGAAAGGGAUCACGAUGCCGGAACCGAGGCUUCAAAUCAACAUGAUCAUGUACCGUUCGUUUCUCUAGGAAGGUUUUAAACAGAAAACUCUUCUGUCCUGCUCCUCAUCCAAGGUCCCGAAACCAAACCCAAAACCCAACUCUGAAGCCAAACCCUAACCCAGAAUGAUGCUGCAAUUCAUGAUUAGGUAGUUAGAAAGCAUUUGUUAAGCAUUUUGUGUGAGCUUAUCUAAAGUGAGGACUAGCUAACGCAGUUACGUCGCCGCGACGUCGCGGUUACGUAACUUUAUGACCAAACAUAGGUUGCCGCAACGUAAGUUUCAACGUUGCCGCGACGUGCGGGUGAAAGACGCGAUCACGUUGCCGCAAUGUAUCUUGGCGACGUUGCUCGUCCGUAACUGCCACGUCCUGGCGACGUCGUGGCAACCAAAAUACAUACUGGCGACAUUUAUGCAACCUUCUUCAAAAAGGUUGCCAUAACGUUGCAAGGACGUUCUUGGCGGAUCUGCAUGGUGCAGUCCUCAUUUGCCCUUUAUAGAACCCACAAAAUCUAGUCUGAAAUCUACAAGCCACAUAAAUAUUUUACCUACAUUUUGGCUGGUGGCUGUUGCUAAUGUGGACCCCAAGCCUAUUCAAAAGACAAGACAGUACACUAACAAAUAUCAAUUUAUUAUAUUUUUAUUUCAAAUAAUUUUGAAUUCAAUUUUGGGGAUGUUCUUCCGCCUGCCGUUCCAUCCAACCCUGUGAAGAACAAAUAAAAGAGAACACCUAAUAAACCAAUCCAGUGCUCAACCCAACCUGUCUCCGUGGGUUCAAUUAAGAAGCAGAAGAGCUGCAGUGUACCCAAGGUCACAUCUGCUCUAUAAGGUGUCCGGCCGCCAUCCCCUAUUCACGUGCUUUUGUGUAUUGGAGAACCUGCUCAGCAAGCUGCAGUCUGCAACUUCUGCGGGAGGUAUGUUUAAUUCAAAUCCAGUACUGUUGCAUUUCAGCAAAAGCACAAGGGUGAAAGUCUUUGGUCCCCUUCAACUCCUGAGCAACAACAGCAGUGGCAUCUUCCCCUUCUUUCCCCUAAGGCUGUAGCUGCUCCAAACAAAGUUUGAGGCCACAGAGCGCAACACCCUCCUCACACACUCCCCAGGAUUGGACCCCCCAACUAGGCUCAGAUGGGAAAUCUAAGGAAAUCAAACAACCAUGGUUAAGGCAAGUAUUUGCAUUGUAUUUUUCAUGUGGUGUUGGUGGUGUUUUCUUUUGAGGGGGGCGAACCAAAUUAAGGUAUUUGAAGAUGGACUGCUCAUCUCUAACUACUUAGCUAACAACAGGGAACUAAAGAUGAAAAAAGCUCAAUGGCAGGGCCAUGUGGCACACUUGGUGGCAUGUGUACAAUAUAGCCUAAAGUCACUUCACCAUUAUUCGUACAUUUACCAUUUUUUUUGUGAAAUCUCUAUUUUUAAGGUGCUCCUCAAGUUCCUGUAGUUCGGCCUGAGUUUGCGCCUGCAGUAACUCGACACUAGCUUCCCCAGGGUCCCCAUGUCGAUUUGCCCGUAGCAAUAAUAGAGCCUCUCUCUGAUUCUGCUCAACAGUCUCAAGCCUUCGGAGCAGAACCUCCAAUGUCGCUGUAAAAAAAAUAUGUUGAGAUCAGAGGAGUGUAUUUAGUAGUAUUUGGUGUCAUUUGCAUACAGUGCAAUACAGUUCAAUACAUGUAUUACCGUUGAUAUUCUUUGCCCAGAUUGGUAUGGUUUCUCUCUCUCUUCGGUCACCUAAGUAAUGUGUAUAAAGCAUAAUGUGUAGGGUUAGUAUAGACAGAUGACUGUCAUAACCUGUUGAUAAGAGUUACUAGUUUGGUUUUAACCACCCUCUCCACCCGCCACUUUACCGUCCCCAGUAGAGAUAGGCAAUGGCGUUUCAAAUGAAGACGCAAUCGAAUCAUCUGCAGGAAGUACAAAAUAAUAAUUCAAUGUUUUUUUUUGGUUUCAAACUCUUUGUUGUCUUGGCUCAUAGAAUUACUGUUAUGUCAUCAUCAUUCGUCAUCAUUACCCUACAUAACUUUACCAUCAUUUUCUGUAAAAUCGUCUCUUGCCGGUGAAGGAGGGGAGUAAUCUACAGAAAGAACAAGAUAAGAAUUUAGGUUAUGUGUUUUUGUUUCGAAACAUAGUGUCUUCUUGACUUCUAUGCAAUUAUUUGUAUUUGUUUUUAACCAUCAUUCCCUUGCAAACUCUACCGUCAUCAGUCACAGGGGGUGAAGAUAUUUGUAGUGCGCUACGCCGUGGAAUGGGUGAUUCUAUCUGGGGUGGAGGAGGAAGGGAAGUCCUGAAAUGUGGACCUGCCUUUUUCCCAUUUCGUUUCUUUGUUUUCUUUUCACCUGAACAGAAUUAUAUUAGCCGAAAGUAAAUAACAGUGUUACAUGUUUACACAUUGUUUAGAAUUGCUGCUUGCACUUUUAACACUAAGUUAAUACAGUACACAAGGAUGUGCAGAUAUACCGGUGUGAAUCAAUUUUUGGGGUUUGACUAUGAUGCGCCUCCCUGUGUCCUCAUUUCCUGUCUCCACACAGGACUUUGUCUCCGCCCUCUUGUUCCUCCUGACGGCCUGAUCCCAAUCAUCUAAACAGUCAGGUGGGCCAAAACAAUUAGAAAUUACACUCUUUUAAAUGUGUUGCAUGUCACCACUUGUUAUUUGUCGCCCAUUAACACACCUGUUGAGGAAAAUAUUUUUAUUGGCCUUUUUAGCCAGGUUUUAGGAUCGGGCAAAUCUUUGUCCUUUGCCCUCUGUGUGGGCUUGUGGAGUGGCCAGUAGCUGCAUGUCUUCUGAAAUGGAAAACAAAAUAGUUUUGCAGAACUUGCAUAGAAUUUUUGAAAUGAUUGACAUAAAGGUUUUUCGCAUGUACUUACAUCUCCCUCUUUUAUAAUCCAAUUACUGGCCACUAUGCCAACAGUCCUUUCCCCCAAAAUUCGACGAUGCUAUACAUUCUGUAAUCAAGAACAGAGAGGUUAAUUUAAUACAGUAAAGAAUAAUUGUGUCUGUACAAGAAAUUGCAAUGAUAAUACACAUGCAAAAUACAACAUACUGCAAUGUCAUGAAGAAUGGCCAUGAAGAGGAUUUUUUCCCCCACAGGAAUCUUGAUUGCCUUUCUUUUCAGGUUGUCAUUUGGAUCCAUCUCAAAACGGUGUCAUUGUUCUUGUACUUCAGUACUCCGAUUAAUGUGGAGUCACAAGGGACACUGAAAAGUGGUUCUGGGUGCUGGUAUACACGGCAAAGCUGGCUUCCGUCCCUCUCCUCUAUGACCUCGCAGCAUUCGCGGCGAUUCAAAAUAAAAGAAGAAUUGGACCUCUGCCUACCAUGCUCCAUUGGCUGUCCAGCGCAUUCCUCAAGCCUUUUCACCACUUGUGACAGGGGGCAUCUUCCACUCCUUACCAUCCUCUUUAUUUUCUUGAGACAAUUUUCAAAUUUAAAAGCGCUACAAUUGUCCAAUCCUCCAAAGGUCACGGCAUCCUCCACAAUGUGCAACAUUGAGUGCACGUUGUAGACCAGAAACUGGUUACCAUAAAGUUCUCGGCCUCUCUCAACAAAGAAUCGGAGGAGAUCAGCAGCAUAUCUCCAAUGUUGCUCAACCAAUGCUGGACUUACAAGUAUGUUCAUUGCCACACUGAAUGUCAUGAAGUGGCUGAAAAAUUCAUCUUUAAGGACCCCCUUCAGCACAAUCUUUCCUGUAUAUAACAUAAACUGCCUAUGUUCCGUUGCCUUCCAUCUCUCAAGCUCUUUAAGAUCUCUCGGUUUGCGAGCGAAGCUGGAAGGGAUGUGUGGACGGAGGUUGGUGAGCCUGCUGCUGACCUCCUCUAUUUGGGUUGCCGACAUCUUCAGGCCCUUCACUCCUCUGCACCACAUGAAGAGAAGCCUCUUCAUGACACCCAAGCAUGCCUGGUGCAUGUAAUCGAUGGGAAAUGCACUGAUCAUGUUUAUGGGUAAAUCCAAAAGCGGGGUGCUGCCAUGAUGAUGCUCGCCCUGUGUCUGUUGGCGGAAGGAGUCGUCACUACGAGCCACCACCUCUGUGUCUUGGUAAGUAACCUUCUCAUACCACUCACCCCUCUGCACACACCGGUCACACCCAUAA